rnacentral:rRNA from 1 species
AUUGAACGCUGGCGGAAUGCUUUACACAUGCAAGUCGAACGGCAGCACGGGGGCAACCCUGGUGGCGAGUGGCGAACGGGUGAGUAAUACAUCGGAACGUGCCCAGUCGUGGGGGAUAACGUAGCGAAAGUUACGCUAAUACCGCAUACGAUCUACGGACGAAAGCGGGGGACCGUAAGGCCUCGCGCGAUUGGAGCGGCCGAUGUCAGGUUAGGUAGUUGGAGAGGUAAAGGCUCACCAAGCCGACGAUCUGUAGCUGGUCUGAGAGGACGAACAGCCACACUGGGACUGGGACACGGCCGAGACUCCAACGGGAGGCAGAAGUGGGGAAUUGGGGACAAUGGGACAAAGCCUGAUCCAGCCAUGCCGCGGUCAGGACGUAGGCGUUCGGGUAGUAAUCUGCUUUUGUACGGAACGAAAAGGCUCGGGUUAAUACCUGGGGCUCAUGACGGUACCGUAGGAAUAAGCACCGGCUAACUACGUGCCAGCCGCCGCCGUAA